rnacentral:rRNA from 1 species
UACGAAGGGGGCUAGCGUUGCUCGGAAUUACUGGGCGUAAAGCGCACGUAGGCGGUCUUUUAAGUCGGGGUGGAAAUCCUGGAGCUCAACUCCAGAACUGCCUUCGAUACUGGAAGACUUGAGUCCGGGAGAGGUGAGUGGAACUGCGAGUGUAGAGGUGAAAUUCGUAGAUAUUCGCAAGAACACCAGUGGCGAAGGCGGCUCACUGGCCCGAGUACUGAC